rnacentral:rRNA from 1 species
AUUGAACGCUGGCGGCAGGCCUAACACAUGCAAGUCGAGCGGAAACGACAYUAACAAUCCUUCGGGUGCGUUAAUGGGCGUCGAGCGGCGGACGGGUGAGUAAUGCCUAGGAAAUUGCCUUGAUGUGGGGGAUAACCAUUGGAAACGAUGGCUAAUACCGCAURAUGCCUACGGGCCAAAGAGGGGGACCUUCGGGCCUCUCGCGUCAAGAUAUGCCUAGGUGGGAUUAGCUAGUUGGUGAGGUAAUGGCUCACCAAGGCGACGAUCCCUAGCUGGUCUGAGAGGAUGAUCAGCCACACUGGAACUGAGACACGGUCCAGACUCCUACGGGAGGCAGCAGUGGGGAAUAUUGCACAAUGGGCGCAAGCCUGAUGCAGCCAUGCCGCGUGUAUGAAGAAGGCCUUCGGGUUGUAAARUACUUUCAGUUGUGAGGAAGGGGGUGUUGUUAAUAGCA